AUUCAGUAAAAGAUGGAACUGGCACUUCAAACAAUGGAGAAAUGGCCAGUCCUGGUGUCUGAGUGAUU
ensembl:snoRNA